AUGUCACUGUCUGGUAGGAGGCUCAAAUGGCAAGAUCUGCAGCUUCUCAUUGGAAAAAUUAUGAAGAAAAUCGCUGGGUGGAAGGCUCGAUGGAUUUCUACUCCUGGGCGUGUCACUCUUGUAAGAUUUGUGCUCUCUGCCAUGCCUAUCUUCCAGUUGCUGGCAGUGGAACAACCCAAAUGGGUUUUCAAGCAGGUUGAUAAAUUGCGAAGGGCUUUCUUAUGGGCUGGUUCAGACUCGGUCAGUGGAGGCAAAUGUUUAGUUAAGUGGUCUCUGGUUUGCUUUCCCCUGGAACUUGGUGGUCUGGGAAUUCAUGACUUAUACAGACAAAGCAAGGCUUUGAAAGUGAGAUGGCUUUGGCAGAAUGCUUCCUGUCCUGACAAACCUUGGCAUGGGCUACCCCUACCUAUCGACAAGGAGAUCAAGAAUCUUUUCUGUGCAUCUAUGUCCUGGGAGAUCGGCAGCGGCACUGGCAUAUAUUUUUGGCAUGAUCACUGGCUUGAUGGGAUCUCCCCUUCCUUGGCUUACCCCAAACUUUUC
rnacentral:rRNA from 1 species